UAGAUAGAUAGAUAGAAUAGGCUACAAUUGGAAUGAUACAGAGAAGAGUUGCAUGGCCCUGUGCAAGGAUGACAAGCACAUUUGUGAAGCGUUCCAUAUUUUU